GAAUUCUUCAGUGAAUAACCUAUACACUAUACACAGUUUGGUGAUUACUAGCUACAAUAUUUUGUAGCGUCAUAUACAUUACAUUGGAUAAAACAUUUAAAAUCACCUGUUGUGAUUCCUUUUCCAUUUAAAUGUUUAUUACAGCUCAAGCCAUUGACAUCACAAUGUAGUCUACACAAAGUUGGCGCAGUCAUGGCACAAAUUAUAUUGAAAGAGGAGAAACCGAAAC